AGCGAACGCUGGCGGCAGGCCUAACACAUGCAAGUCGAGCGCCGUAGCAAUACGGAGCGGCAGACGGGAGAGUAACACGUGGGAACGUACCCUUCAGUUCGGAACAACCCAGGGAAACUUGGGCUAAUACCGGAUACGUCCGUAAGGAGUAAGAUUUAUCGCUGAAGGAUCGGCCCGCGUCUGAUUAGCUAGUUGGUGGGGUAACGGCCCACCAAGGCGACGAUCAGUAGCUGGUCUGAGAGGAUGAUCAGCCUCACUGGGACUGAGACACGGCCCAGACUCCUACGGGAGGCAGCAGUGGGGAAUAUUGGACAAUGGGCGCAAGCCUGAUCCAGCCAUGCCGCGUGGAUGAUGAAGGCCCUAGGGUUGUAAAGUCCUUUCGGCGGGGAAGAUAAUGACGGUACCCGCAGAAGAAGCCCCGGCUAACUUCGUGCCAGCCGCCGCCGUAAUAC
rnacentral:rRNA from 1 species